UAUUUUUUCAAUUUAAAAAUAUAAAAUGGAAAAUAUUUUUCAAACUAAAUUUAAAUAUUAGUCAACAUAAAAUUCUAUUAGCAAAGAAAAUAAUAAAAAAGUUGCGGACGGAUCUCGCCGGUCCGUAAGUGUAAGUAGUGCGGGCCAUUCUCCCUAAAAACAUAAUUUCAUUACUUUAUCUUGUGUCCAAUUGCAGAAGUUUCUUAUGAGUGAUGUGUUCUGCUGAUAUUUUGGGGCUUAAUGCCAAUAAAUCAUGGUAUACAGAUAAAAUUCAACAAGAACUUGUUGGGUUUAGUGUGGUCCGUUUAUGAGCUGGACCGUUUUUAUAAAAAUAUCGUUAAUGUACAUAAUUUUAAAUUAUUAAUUUAAAAGUUAUACACAUUUUUUAUUUCUAAUUUCCUAAAUAUGAUUUCCCCUACUACAUGUGUGGCAACGUUUUUCUUUAAUUGUUUACAAAAAAUACAUUUAUGUCAAGCUUUCAUUUGACGUAUGGACAUAUACUUAUAUCCCUACAAGAAAUGUAUGACCGAAACUAACACAUACAAAAUGAUUUUACUAACACACUAGCAACAUUUUUCUUUAAAAAUUGCAAAAAAAAAUAGUUAAUGGAUAAUUCCAUCAAUAAUGACGGUCAAAUGACCGGUAAAAUGACUGUUGAUGUACUCAAUGUGUGAUAAAGGGUUUCAUUUGCAUAUGAAAGAGUGAAACAACUACAUUUGACUGUUACUGUGUUUUCCGUCGCAUAAAUUAAUUAUUUCAGUGAAAGCCAAAGAUCAAGGAGCAAAAAAUUAAAAAAAUUGAGACUAACAAUAUUAAAAAUAAAGAGAUUUAUUAUAAUUUAAAAACGGUGCAGGAAGUGGAGCUGAGAAUAUACACUUCGGAGUUUAAUCUAUUUGUGACAAUUUAUUUCCACAAAUUAAAAGGAGCAUAGGAGGAUUUUACAUUCUGUGAGGUAUGUAAAAUGGUGAAAUGAUAGUUAAUUUAUGUAUAUUAAUAAAAUUAAAAAUAUAUGUCUUAAAAUGUUAA